AUUUUAUUUUUGUUUCUUUCAUAAUUUUUAAAUUUUUUCAGUUUAAUCCUUACGUGUUAUGUUCCAAGUGAUGCGCAGAUACUCACCUUCUUAUCCUUCCACGUUUCCUUUACCGCUUUUGUCAGCGGCUAAUAUCUUUUGCUUCUCUUUCUACCGAUAUUUGUUCUCUCUUCCACCGCCAUCCAUUUUCUUCACGACCUUUCUCUUCUUGAAGAAUCGAUCUUGCAGGCUCCACUGCUCAGACGUGAAUCCCCCAAUCUACAAGUACCUUCGAUUUUAUCACAUCUUUUCCCAUCAAUCCAUCCUCCCCUUCAUCGAACCCUCCACUACGACGUAAGAAGUUCUCCAUCAACACCUCCCUUCCAGCCGCAACAGCGCAUUCCGUAGAGACGUAAAACUAAAAUGAUGUCGACCGCAACCACUCCACCAUGGUCCAUCAAUGGCGACAAAACUAUUAUUUGGUGAAAACGAUAAUCGGAUGCUACAAAUAUGCAUUACAGUUACUUAAGGAAAACAACAAUUAACCUGACAUUUUCAAUGGGGAAGACAAUUGUAUGUAUUUCAUUCUUUAAAUUGAUUUAUUUAUCCUAUUCUUUUUACUUAGUUUACACUUCUUAGUUGUGGUAGUUCUAUCGAUAUUUACAGCAAUUUUAGUCGUUUUAAUUUUGGAUUCAAUUUUGGGCUCUGAUUGAAACCCUUAAAUCUUUGUAACUAUUGUUUCAGAUAUGCUUCGGUAAUUUCUUUAAAUUGAGAUUUGGAGUAUGAAGGAGGAGAAACACACUCAUGAUUUAAGAUACCAUACUAUGGUAAUUAAGUGGUUGAUUUUGAGUAAUAGAUUGUGCUUAUUUUGAAUUCGAAAUCUUUGAUUUAUUACUAACCGAAUGUAGUGAGAUUAAGUUCAAUUGGGCUACUCAUCAUUAAUCCAAAAAAAAAAAUGUUGGCAAGGUACGUAUAACGAUUUGCAAAUUAUUUAUUUAUUUUAAUUUGCCAUUUGUGCUGACUAAAUUACUUAAUUAGUUAUGUGACUGCAUGAGUUUUAAUUUAUUUUACAAUUUGCUGUGAAUGAUCUAGUCAUUAAUAAAUCUUAUGGGAUGUAGUAUAUGGAAGAACAAUUGUAACAUUGAAUUGGCAUAUGUAUUAAUUGAUUAACUUAUAAUUGGAUAGAUUUGUCUAAGUAUGAUGCCAUAAUAAGAAAAGAAAACAUGCAUAAAUUUCAACGUACAAUUUCUAAAUAUGAAACAUUUUAAAACAAAAAAUCGUAAUAAGAUAAUUUGUGAUUUCAGUUUUAAGACGUACUUCUUACAGGUUUAAGACGUACUUCUUAUUAUGGACCGAAACUCAAGGUGCUCAAAAGGGAUUUUUUUUAUUACUUUUACUUUAACUUUUUUCCUUAUUAACACUUUGUAGUUGAAAAACUACAAAAUGAUAAAAUUAUAUGUUUGAUUAGUAUUUCUCUAAGGAGGAGGGAGUCACUCCCUCGCAACUCACUCAACCCACUGUCAUAUUAGUUUUUCUUUUUCAAUUUUCUUCAUAUUUGUCAACCCACAUGACAUGGAAACCCUAUCUUUUUCAACUCACUUAACUCAUUCAAUUAAAAAAAUAUACAAAACAAUCAAGGUAAAAUCUUAAUUAGCAAUAGAGUUAUCGUCGGUAUCACUCCCUCUUCUACGGGUUGUUUAAUUGGUUUCACUAACACAUUUCAUCCUCUCUCAUUUUCUCUUGUACUAUGUAUUUUAAGACUUAUACCUUAGUUAUUUUGUGUUUUUUUUAAUUGAGGGGGUUGAGACAGAUAAGAUUUCCGUGUGUUGUGGGUUGGGAGAGAUGAAGAUAAAAAAAAAAAAACAACAAUUGAUGUGACAGUGGGUUCAGUGGAUUGGGAGGGAACGACUCCCUCCUCCCUUAGAGAUGCAAAUAGUAGCAACGUCCUUUCAUUUGUCAUUAUUCUACUUUCAUUUCUUCCUAUUAUGACAUUCACUUUGAAAACCGAAAGUAAUUAAAAUUAGCAUGCAAACCAAUUUUUACUUAUGUGAUAUGGUAGAUUUCCCGAUGUAUAUUGACUGUUUUGAAAUGGAGAAAUAUGUGUGAUGUAAGCCAUAAACCAUUGUCAUCAAAUAUUUAGGGGAAAUAAUCAAAACUAAAAAAAGACUAAUCUAUAGGUGGUUAUAAGCUAAUAGCAAUCCAAACAAUCCAAAUAUUAAGUAAAGACCUGUAAUAAUAUUCCGCCCCAUGCAACGCACAAGAAUACUUUCUAGUUUGUAUAUAAAUUUCAAAAUUAUAAAUACUUUAUUUAAGUUUAUAUAUAAAUAUUAAUUAUAUGUAUCACUAAAUAAAAACAGAAAUAAUAUUAUAUUUAUUAUUAUAUUUAUUAUUUUUUCAUAUUUAUUUAUUAUUAUAUUUUUAAAAAAUUAAGUUAUUGCUAUACAUGUGACUCCAUCGCCUCUUAUAUUCUGAUUGAGUCGACCAAGAUACAGUAAUCACCUACACCUACCCACGUCUCUUAAGGGGGUAUUUGGCUUAGCUUUUGAAUGACCAAAAGUCGUUUAGAAAAAGAUCAUAGGUAAAAGAUGUUUGACAAAAGACUUUUAAAAACUACUUUUGGAUUUUGCAAAAAAAAAAAAUCAAUUUUUUGGAAAAGUCAGAAAAACUAACUUUUUGUAACUUUUCCAAAAAAAAAAAUAUUUUUAAUCACACCCGAAUUAGAAGGUAAAAACCAUAUUUGAUAAAAUGAAAACCACUUUGACUUUUCAAACCCAUAUUGAUAUGACAUUUAUAAUCAUUAUUUGCCUAUUUAAUACUUAUUAAAUUACACAACAUUUAAAACUUUAUUUUGCCUAAUAUUUACGAUUUUCCUUUUUAUAUUUUUUUAGU